GCAUUGGUGGCUUAAUGGUAGAGUUCUCACCUGCCACCCAGGAGACCUGGGUUCAAUUCCCAGCCAAUGCA